UGCACCUUCAGUGCACACUCCUGCCUGAUUCAGGUCCCCAAACAAUGAGCUGUGCAGGCCUUGUGUCCCAUCCUGCUGCACCACCAGGGCAGAGAAGCUAAUUUCAUAGCCCCACCUAAUGCUGAGUAUAGUAUCCAGUCCCAACUGUCUAGUAACAUCACAGAAUCCAAGCAACCAUGAAGCCCAUCCUACAGCCUCACUUGGGUGGGAGGGUAACCAAGCCAACAGUCCUACCAGGCUAUCUCAGCCAAUGACCCUCGCCUCCCCCUCAGUGCUCAAACAGAUGCUUUGCCCAAAAAUAGACCACCUAAGUACAUAAAGCAAAAACUAGCAGAGCUAAAAGGAGAAAUAAAAGCAAUAAAGUAAUAGUUGGGGACUUUAAUACCCCACUCUAGACAAUGGGUAGAUCAUCUAGGGAGAGAAUCAAUAAGGAAAUAGCAAAUUCGAACCACACUAUAUACCAAAUGUACUAACAGACAUAUACAGAACAUUCUGUUCAUCAACAGCAGAAUACACAUUCUGAAGUGGACAUGAACAUUUUCUAGGAUACACCAUAUGUUAGGCCACAGAACAAGCCAGUAAAUUCAAGAAGAUUGAAAUCAUACCAGGUAUAUUCUCUGACCACAAUGGUAUGAAACUAGAAAUCAAUAACAAGAGGAAAACUGGAAAAGUCACAAACAUACGGAAUGAAAACUCUCGUGAACAACCAAUGGAUCAAAGAAGAAAUUAAAGGGGAUAUAAAGAGUAUCUUGAGAUGAACGAAAAUGGAAACACAACAAAACAAAACUUACGGGAUGCAUCAAAAGCAAUUCUAAGAGGGAAGUUCACAGCAAUAAAUGCCUACAUUAAGAAGCAAGAAAGAUCCCAUAUAAACAUCCUAACUACGCCUUAGGGAACUAGAAAAAGAAGAGCUGAGCCUUAAGUUAGCAGAAGGAAAUAGCAAAGAUUAGAGCAGAAAUAAAUAGAGAGUACGAAAACAACAGAAAAGAUUAACCAAACUAAGACUUGGUUCUUUGAAAAGGUAAACCAAGGAAAAAAGAAAGGACCCAAAUCAACAAAAUUGUAAAUGAAAAAGGAGACAUUACAACUGAUAGCACAGAAAUAAAGAAUUGUAAGAGGGUACUAUGCAAAACUAUAUGCCAACAAACUGGACACCCUAGAAGAAAUGCAAAAUUCUUAGAAACAUACUAUCAAGAGUGAAUCAGGACAAAAUAGAAAGUCUGAAUAGACCAAUUAUAGUAAAGAGAUUGAAUUAGUAAUCAAAAAUCUCUCACAGAGGAAAAGCCCAGGACCAGAGGGCUUCAACUGGUGAAUUUCACAAAAUAUCUUAAGAAAAAUUAAUGCCAGUCUUUCCCAAAAAAUUGAAGAGGAGGGAACACUCCCAAAACUCAUUUUAUGAAGCCAGCAUCACUGAUAGCAAAGCUGGAAAAGAACAUUACCAAAAAAGGAAACUACAGACCAAUAUCCCUGAUGAACAGAGAUGUAAAAAUUUGCAAUAAAAUACUAGCAAAUUGAAAUCAGCAGCACAUUAAAAGGAUCAUUCACCAUGAUCAACUGGGAUUUAUACCUGGCAUGCAAGGAAAAAAUUAUCUGAUUAGAUGCAGAAAAAGCAUUUGACAAAGUUCAACAUUCAUUCAUGAUAAAAACUCUCAACAAAUUAGGUAUACAAGGAAUAUACUUCAACAUAAUAAAGGCCAAAAGGGAUAAGCCCACAGGUAAUAUCAUACUGUUGAAAGGCUGAAAGCUUUUCCACUAAUUUCAGGAACAAGAUAAGGGUGCCCACUCUGACCACUUCUACUCAACAAAGUAGACCACAAAGUAGACCAAAGUAGAAGGAAAAGAAACAAAAGGUAUCAGAAUUUGAAAGGAAGAAGUAAAACUGUCUCUGUAUGUAGAUGACAUGUUUUUAUACAUAGAAAAUUCUAAAGACUCCACGAAAAAAAUCUGUUAGAUCUAAUUAACAAAUUCAGUAAAGUUGUAGGAUACAAAAGCAACAUAAAAAGUCAAUGGCAUUUCUAUAUACUAACAAUGAAAUUAUCUGAAAAAGAAAUAAAAUGAUCCCAUUUACAAGAGCAUCAAAAACAAUAAAAUACUUAGGAAUAAACCUAACCAAGGAGGUGAAACAUCUCUACUUUGAAAACUACAAGACACUGAUGAAAGAAAUCAAAGAAGACACAAAUAAAUGGAAAGGCAUCCUGUGUUCAUGGAUUGGAAGAAUAUUGUUAAAAUGAUCAUACUACCAAAAGCCACUUAUACAUUCAGUGCAAUUCCCAUCAAGAUUCCAGUGGCAUUUUUUAAAGUAGUAAAAACAAUCCUAAAAUUUAUAUGGAACCACAAAAGACACAGAAUAACCAAAGCAAUACUGAGAAAGGAGAACGAAGCGGGAGGCAUCACACUUCCUGAUUUCAAGCUAUCCUAUAAAGCUAUAGUAAUCGAAACAGUAUGGUACUGGUAUAAAAACAAAUAGAUCAAUGGAACAAAAUUAUGAGCCCAGAAAUGAACCCAAGCAUAUAUGGUCAACUAAUAUUUGACAAGGGAACCAAGAAUACUCAGUGGAGAAAAGAUGGUCUCUUCCAUAAAUGGUGCUGCAAAAAUUGGAUAGUCAUAUGUAAAAGAAUGAAAUGACCACUAUCUUAUACCACUACCCAAAAUGAACUCAAAAUGAUUAAGACCUAAAUGUACAACCUGAAACCAUGAAACUACUAGAAGAAAACAGAAAAAAGGCUCACCGGCAUGUGUCCUGGCAGUGAUUUUUGGAUAUGACAUCUAAAGCACAAGCAACAAAAUAAAAAAUAAGUAAGUAGAACUACAUCACAUUAAAAAGCUUCUGCACAGCCAAAGAAUAAUCGACAAAGUGAAAAGACAACCUAUGGAAUGGAAAAACAUAUUUGCAAACCAUAUAUCUGACAAGGGGUUAAUAUUCAAACUAUAUAAAGAACUCAUACAAUUCUACAGCAAAAAAAAAAAAAUCCAAUUAAAACAUGGGUAAAAGACUUGAGUAGACAUUUUUCUCAAAGAAGAUAUAUAAAAGGGUCAACAGGUAUAUGAAAAGAUGCUCAGCAUCACUGGUCAUUAGGGAAAUGCAAAUCAAAACCAAACCAUAAUGAGAUAUCACCUCACAUCUGGUAGGAUGGCCAACAUCAAAAAGACAAGCAAUACGAAAUGCUGGUGAUAAUGUGAAUUUAAGAGGACUCUUGUGUACUGUUAAUGGGAUCAUAAACUGGUACAGCUACUAUGGAAAACAGUACGGAGGACACUCAAAAAAUUAAAAAUAGAACUACCAUAUGAUCCAGAAAUUCUACUUGUGGGAAUACAAAGUAAAUGAAAACACUAAUUCGAAAAGGUAAUCUGUACCCCUUCAUGUUCAUAGCAGCAUUAUUUAAAAUAGCCAAAACAUGGAAACAACCUAACUGUCCACCAGCAGAUGAAUGAAUAAAGAAGCACACACACCAUGGAAUAGUAUUCAGACAUAAAAAAUGAGGAAAUUCUGCCUUUUGCCGACAAUGAAUGGGCCUUGAGGGCAUUAUGCUAAGUCAGAGAAAAACAAAUACUGUGUGAUUUCACUUAUAUGUGUAAUCUAAAACAAACAAACGAACAAACCAAAGUUAGAGAAAAAGAGAUCAGAUUUGUGGUUAACCUGAGGUGGAGGUGGGGUUGGGGAAUUGGAGAAAGGUGGUCAAAAGGUACAAACUUUCUGUAGCAGGGAAUACCUUGUUAAUGAUACUUAGGAUAAGUUGUAAUAGCUUUUGCAUUUUUAUAACAUAACUCACUUCAUACCACUCUUGUAGUUGAUUAUCAACUCUAGAAACUUCUUUGCCUCAUGUUGAGGAUGAGACUUUAAUUUCUUCCAUUUGGCAGUAUACAUCUACAAAAAUAAAUAACAAAUUAAAAAAAAUAACACAGUAACUAUAGCAAACAGAACUAUGCAUUUAUUUUAAAAAGCAAAUACUAUAAAUCUUUGAUAUUUUAAAAUUUAGUUCUUUAAUGUGAAUGUUUUCCACAUCAGACACAAAAUCUUUUUUCAGCCCCACACCAAAUAUUUUACAAAACAUAAUUUAAGCAUAUGUUCAUUUAGACUACUUAUAAGUUAACCUAACACUGAAAUUUAUUUAAAAAAGGUUACCUUUAUUGCUUAUUAAAACUUUAUUGUGCUGGACAGAGCCUUAAAAGAGCACGGCCAAUCCAACAAGGCUAAAAUCUCUAACAGUAUAUUCUCAUUUUAAAUCAAACAUCGAUCAAGGAACUGUUUUAUUUAGAGCAGUUGGUUUAAACCAAUGUAAAACUGACUCAAGACAGAUUACUUCCCAACUAGUAAUAUUUAGCGCUCAAGUGAUUUAUUAUUGAUUUUCUGGAAAAUUUAAUAAUAUGAAGUAGGUAAGCAUUUUGAUCAUGACUCAGCAGUCAACAAAGCAACUUUUUUAGAAUAAAGGAAGGUGAAGAGAAGGGAAAACCUGGCAUAGGUUUUUAUUCUUUAAGAGCACAUGAUUAGUUUACUUUCCGUAAAAAUGAAUCUGAGCUGUCCUUCAAUUUAAGCACAUAUGAAUUAUGAUCAGACUUACCUGUCAAUCUCUAUUUCAAUAUAAAUUUCCUAGUCUAGAAUUAUUCCUAGAAAAUCUUCCAACUUUGAAACAUUAUGUUUAGCACGUAUCACAUUUAUUCAGAAAACUUUCUUCUAUUUUUGAGAUGUUAGCCUUUAAAUUUCUACCCGUGACAAACCCCUACUCUGAAUUAUCUAAUAACUCCUCAGCUUUUCUGUACUAUUGCGACUUCCAUCUAGUCUUCUAUUAUGUGUUAAAGUAAAAUCAGAAUCUGCUUUGGCAGGCUUUUUUUUCUUCCUCUGGCACUGUUUCUCCAAUAUAGCCAAUUUUAAGAAGAAAAUAAUAUAUCCAUAAGAUUAAUGAAAAGUCACUAAAAUUUUUAUUGUAGUAACAGAACCAAAAUGCAUACAUAUUCAAAUGCAGACUAUUGUCCGUCCUGGAUGACUUAUAUGACCUAUUAUCUGACCUGAUUUGUCGGUUAAAUGUAGGUAAUGAUGAUCAGACUCCUCUUAUUAAUGACUGGGUUGUAAGGAGGUUAUCUAAAAAAUUAAUUUUAAAAGGAGAAACCAAGGUAUGUUAACUGGUACAGAAUGAAACUGGGAUAGUUCAAGUUUAAAGAAUAAAAAACAUUGAGAUGAAUUACUUAUGUGAUUAUGUAGAAGAGAUCUACUAUAUAAGAAAAUGACUUUUUUUUUUUUUUUUUUUUUGGUGAAGGAAAAGGUAGAUAAGUACCUAAACAUCUAGACCAUGUUUGAGUCAUCGUUGUAUAGUAUUUCCACAGCGCCUCAUUCUUAGUAGGGGCUUAAUAAAAUUAGGAGAUCAAAUGAAUUAAUGGCUGUGGUCUGCUGGCCUCUUGUUCUGGGCUCAGCCUGGUUUCUCAGAAAGCUUCCUGAUUGUUUGCAGAAGAUUGGGACUACCGUGUCCUCCACUGUGGUGACUGCUGGGAAAGCUGAAGCUUCUGUGACCACUACAGUAAGGAAAGAUUCCUGAAUACCCAGAAGACUGCCACAAAUUUGCAACACUUACCUCAGUUAUCUCAUCUACACAUCCAGAAUAAUAAUACCUUCCUCGUCUGGUCAUUUUGAAGAUUAAAUGGCAUGCCCUUAGCACAGUACCAGGAAGACAGGUGACUGAGGUGUACUUUUCUGCAUUUUGGCUCUGUUUCCCUGCGUUAUCCAGUAACACAAGCUUUUAAAGUUGUUGAGGUGGGAGCUAGUCUUUGCCACCAGGUCAUUCCUAAAACAAGAUAGAUGGAGAGGAAAACAGAAGAGUGUCCUGAGAUCAGGUGAGAGCAUGAACAAAGAUACGGUGGUAGAAAAAACAACAUGACAUGAGAGAACAUAAGGGGAAAAUGGAAAAUUAAAAUGGAUGAUCUAAAAUAUAAGCGAGAGAAAUUUGGCAUUUCUCAUUCCUAGGGGUUCAUUGCAGGUCCUGGAGCAGAGAAAUGUUAUCACAGAGUGGUAUUUUAGGAAGAUCAUUCUGUCAGUGCUGAGCAGGAAGGAGAAACCCUAAAGUCAGAGGACUGGUCAGAAAGUUAUUGGAAUAAUCCUGAUGUGAGAUGGAAAAGAGACACAGCAGAAAUUCAUUUUAAAGGAAGAAAUGACAAAAGAGACUACUGAGGAAUAUGUCAACUAAUAUGGUAUACUCCCCACACCAGCUGAGAGAAAGGAACUAAUUACAGUUUAAACUCUACAUAAGUAGCUAUCAAAUACUGAAAAAAAAUUCAUUUAAGCCAAUAUCAUACUGAGAAAAUAUGCAAACAAUUUCUACUGGUUAUAUGCUUAGGCAUAAAACAUUAUGCUUAAUAUAAAGUAUUCUACAUGUUAUAUAGCACAAUAGCUAUAACGACAGUAUUAUGCUUAAAGCUGGCUGAACAAACACUAGUAAGAACACUUCAUUAAAAAUAGCCAUGCAAUAGCCUGAAGACUCAAACCUUCUAGAAUACAAUUUACCUAUAGUGGAGCAUGAAAUUGGCUGUGCAUUGCUAUCACUUGUUGAAGUUUUUCUUCCUUGGCUCUUCUACAGUGGCAAAUCUAGAAGACAAAUUAUUUAAAAUACCAGUCACUUCUCCAGUAAUCUUCCUACUACUAGCUAAAUUUGACAGAAUUCUAAGUAAGAAUCUUUUAACUUGUUGACAUUAUUUAAACUGUCGAUGUCUGAGGUAGAGCAGAAUUUAAGAAUCAAAACGAAAAAAAUUUUAAUUUUGUUUGGAAGAUAAUCUUUGUAAACUUCCAGAAUGUAAAACGCACUCUGAUCCUUUAUACCAGUUCUCUGAUUAUAUAAUUUCAAAUAUCUGUGUUUUAAAAAUAUGAAAAUAAAUCCUACUGUUGUUACCCAGGAAGCUUAACAAAUAAAAACUUCGGGGCUUCCCUGGUGGCACUGUGGUUAAGAAUCCGCCUGCCAAUGUAGGGGACACAGGUUUGAGCCCUGGUCCGGGAAGAUCCCACGUGCCGCGGAGCAACUAAGCCCGUGAACCACAACUACUGAGCCUGAGCUCUAGAGCCCAUGACCCACAACUACUGAAGCCUGCGUGCCUAGAGCCCGUGCUCCGCAACAAAGAGUAGCCCCACUUGCCACAACUAGAGAAAGCCUCCGCACAGCAAUGAAGACCCAACGCAGCUAAAAAUAAAUCAAUUGAAACAAAAACAAAAAAAACUUCAAGAUACAGUUAAAUAGUACCGAAGAAAAAUGGACCCAAAAUCGACGCUUCACUAAUGCUAUAACCAUAGUCAUUAAUAUCUCUGUACUUCAAAUUUUCUCAUGGAAAACAGGGAUAAUAAAAUCUGCCACACUUUCCUUAACAGUUCAUAUAUAUAUAUAUAUAUAUAUAUAUAUAUGGCACACCUGUUUUAUAACGUUUAACAAAAGGUUAUUUUAAAACUGUGAUGUUUCAGAGAAAUUAGGUAAAUAUUUAGGACUCUAUCAAAGGACAAGAUACUGCUAAGCAGACUUAAAAUUUUUUUCUUUAAAUAUAAUGAAGGGCUUCCCUGGUGGCGCAGUGGUUGAGAGUCUGCCUGCGGAUGCAGGGGACGCGGGUUUGUGCCCCGUUCCGGGAGGAUCCCACAUGCCGGAGCGGCUGGGCCCGUGAGCCAUGGCCACUGAGCCUGCGCGUCCGGAGCCUGUGCUCCGCAACGGGAGAGGCCACAACAGUGAGAGGCCCGCGUACCACAAAAAAAAAAAAAAAAAAAAAAAAAAAAAAAUAUAUAUAUAUAUAUAUAUAUAUAUAUAAAA